rnacentral:misc_RNA from 1 species
UUGAGUUUAAAGGAUGUGCUGGCUUUAUUGCAUGUGCACUCUAACCAAUAUCCACCUUUGUGCACAAUCUGUAGGCAAAUUUAUUUGUCUAUGUACCUUUACAAACAACCAUUGAUGUAUUUGAAUGCUUUAUUAUAUUAAAA